rnacentral:rRNA from 1 species
UACGGAGGAUGCGAGCGUUAUCCGGAUUUAUUGGGUUUAAAGGGUGCGUAGGCGGACGCUUAAGUCAGCGGUAAAAUUGCGGGGCUCAACCUCGUCGAGCCGUUGAAACUGGGUGCCUUGAGUGGGCGAGAAGUACGCGGAAUGCGUGGUGUAGCGGUGAAAUGCAUAGAUAUCACGCAGAACUCCGAUUGCGAAGGCAGCGUACCGGCGCCCAACUGACGUUGAGGCUCGAAAGCGUGGGGAGCAAACAGG